AAUGGUGGCAAUGCCACAGUGGACUGAUCAACCAACGAAUGCAAAAUUUGUCGCCGAUGUAUGGAAAGUUGGAGUUAGGGUAAAGGUGGAUGCAAAAGGAACCGUCAGAAAGGAAGAAAUAGAGAAAUGUCUAAGGCAAGUAAUGGAAGGAGAGACAGCAAAUGAGAUUAGAAAGAAUUCACAGAAUUGGAAGAAACUUGCUAAAGAGGCAGUGGAGGAAGGGGGAAGUUCUGACAAGAACAUUGAGAAAUUUGUAGAAGAACUCAAAUGCUCCUCCAAUGUUACUAAAUAGGAAAUAGUGAAACAAACACAAUAAGCUUGGCAUGUGGGUAAUUAAUAAGCUCUCCAUUGUGUGAGAAAAUAAUGUAAAAAUAUAUUGUAAUUAGGUAAAUUCUUGCGAUUGUGGAUCCAUGUAUGGUGGAAUUAUCUGUAAAAUAAGUAAAAUCCAUACAUUUAUGUGUUGGAUCCAUAAUAGAUCUGAUUAAUAUAAGUUUUUUCCUUUGUAACUAAAUCUAGCAAUCAAUUGUUGUCAAUAAAGUUGUGACUAGAUCACUUGAAAUGGAGGCAAAAGUCCAUGACUAGAAAGGCAAAAUUUU
rnacentral:misc_RNA from 1 species